CCAUCUGGGCAGAGGGAUCCUCCUCAGAUCAUCACCGGUGCUGGGUGUCCUUAGGCUGAGCUUCUCUUUGUUUAGCUGCUUCCUUCUGCUUGCUCAUGAAGAGGUGAAGUACGUGGUGGAGCUGGAAGCUCACAGGAUUGGAAGGGAUCUCUGAAGAUCAUCUAGUCCAAUGCCCCUGCUAGAGCAGUAUCACCCAGUGUGAUUCACCCAGGAACAUGUCUAAGCAGGUUUUGAAUGCCUCCUGAGAUGGAGGCUCCACAACUUCACUGGGCAGCCUGGUCCAGUCAUCUGCCACCUUCAAAAUGAAGAACUUUCUCCUUAUGAUGAUGUGGGACUCUUGUGUUCUAGUUUGUAUCCAUUGCCCCUUGCCCUGUCACUGAACACCACGGAGAAGAGUCUGGCUCCAUCCUCCUGACACUCGCCCUUUAGCUGUUGAUCAGGGUUAACGUCGUUCCUCCUGCAUCUCCGCUUCUCUUUUACCUCGAGGAGACCAUGAAAGUUACCUCCCAUUGUCCUGUGUUGGGGAAGGCUGUGAGGUGACUACAUACAAAGUGCUUGGGAUGGCACUCAUUCAGGGAAAGCACAGGGGGUAUACUUUUGGAAUCAGAAUAUGAGGUUUGGGUACUCUCCCUGGGCAACCUGUUCCAGUGUUUCACCAGCCUCACUGUAAAGGACUUCUUCCUAA